rnacentral:rRNA from 1 species
CCCUUAGAUGUUCUGGGCCGCACGCGUGCUACACUGAGUGGAUCAGCGGGUCAGGUUGCGCGAAAGUGUUUCCUAAUCUUUAAAUCCGCUCGUGAUGGGGAUUGACGGUUGCAAUUUUCCGUCAUGAACGAGGAAUACCUUGUAAGCGCGGGUCAUCAUCCCGCGCUGAAUACGUCCCUGCCCUUUGUACACACCGCCCGUCGCUCCUACCGAUUGAGUGGUCCGGUGAGGCUUUGGGAUCUUGGCGGAAAGAGCGUUUCGCUGUUUCUGCCCGGAAAACUCAGUCGAACCUUAUCAUUUAGAGGAAGGAGAAGUCGUAACA